rnacentral:rRNA from 1 species
UACCAGCUCUCCGAGUGGUAGGGAUGAUUAUUGGGCUUAAAGCGUCCGUAGCCGGCUUAGCAAGUCUCCUGUUAAAUUCAGCGACCUAAUCGUUGAGCCGCGGGAGAUACUACUAGGCUAGGAGGCGGGAGAGGUCAACGGUACUUCCGGGGUAGGGGUGAAAUCCUAUAAUCCCGGGAGGACCACCAUUGGCGAAGGCUGUUGACUAGAACGCGCUCGACGGUGAGGGACGAAAGCUGGGGGAGCGAACCGGAUUAGAUACCCGGGUAGUCCCAGCUGUAAACGAUGCGAGCUAGGUGUUGGGGUGGCUACGUGCCACUUCAGUGCCGCAGGGAGCCAUUAAGCUCGCCGCCUGGGGAGUACGGCCGCAAGGCUAGAAACUUAAAGGAAUUGGCGGGGGAGCACCACAAGGCGUGAAGCUUGCGGUUC